rnacentral:rRNA from 1 species
GACGAACGCUGGCGGCGUGCUUAACACAUGCCAGUCGAACGGAAAGGCCCUGCUUGCCGGGUACUCGAGUGGCGAACGGGUGAGUAACACGUGGGUGAUCUGCCCUGCACUUCGGGAUAAGCCUGGUAAACUGGGUCUAAUACCGGAUAGGAGCCAUUUUUAGUGUGAUGGUUGGAAAGUUUUUUCGGUGUAGGAUGAGCUCGCGGCCUAUCAGCUUGUUGGUGGGGUAAUGGCCUACCAAGGCGGCGACGGGUAGCCGGCCUGAGAGGGUGGACGGCCACAUUGGGACUGAGAUACGGCCCAGACGCCUACGGGAGGCAGCAGUGGGGAAUAUUGCACAAUGGGCGCAAGCCUGAUGCAGCGACGCCGCGUGGGGGAUGACGGCCUUCGGGUUGUAAACUCCUUUCGCUAGGGACGAAGCUUUUUGUGACGGUACCUAGAUAAGAAGCACCGGCUAACUACGUG